AGAUAUGAAGCAAUACUUGCAGUUAGUUUCGACCUAACCAACAGAUAAAUAAUUAUCCAUAUUUU
rnacentral:tRNA from 1 species